GUUCCAGACGGGGUAGCGAGGCAUGAGAGCACUGUUUGGUUGAAGGUCAAAGGCGAGGCAGCCCUAACCAGGCCUCAGGAGCGUGUGUCUCUACCUGUCAGGCAGUCUUUCUCCUCAGACAGCUCAGCCGCCUCUUCUUGGCACAGUCCAAGGAUCCAGUCGGGUGUUCCAGGAGUCAGGCGUAUGUGAGGCUCCUCUCCCCAUUAGCUGCGGAUGCCACCCCCAGAGCUCUGCUCCAGGAAUGGGUUCGUCCAGAGGCCCCACCGAAAGGGAACUGGCUCGGCCACCUCCCCGAGGGACCCAAGCUGAGGGUCCUUAACUCAUGCUCCACUGACCUCCACCCCAGACAGAGUAGUGCUCACUUAGCUCCGUGCUGCUUCAGAACUACCCGGCCACCUCCUGGGGCUGCUGGAGAUGGCAGGGAGAGACGGAGGAGGCCCCACCUCUCUGGGGCAGUGGGGAAAGCUGUUGCUCAGAAGUUGAGCUGGAAGUUCAGAUCGACCCUGCUUCAGCCUUUCUCCAGACUUGGAAAAGUACAGAAUGGGCAGCUUCUCCUCACAGAUCCCAAAAGACAUGCCUCCCUGCUCUUGGGGGAGGCCCAGCCUGGACACAGGCCAUGCCUGCCCUGCCAGAGCCACGCUCUUCACUUCCAUGCUGCUGGGCAAGAGGAGGAAGGCCGGCGGAUAGCAGCAUCCUAGCAAGUCAGGCAGCACAGGAGGUACCAAGCUGCCCUUUGCCUGCCCGGUGCAGAAGGAGGAGGUCUGGGCCACACGAGGACGUGAGCUUCUGGGUGGCCCCUCAACUCUGGCGCAGCUUCCCCAUCUGUAAAGUGGGACCAAUAACAACAUCUGUC